rnacentral:rRNA from 1 species
UACGUAGGUGGCGAACGUUGUCCGGAUUUACUGGGCGUAAAGAGCGCGCAGGCGGUCGUACAAGUCGCGUGUGAAAGCCCCCGGCUCAACUGGGGAGGGUCACGCGAUACUGUUCGACUCGAAGGCAGGAGAGGGUAGUGGAAUUCCCGGUGUAGUGGUGAAAUGCGUAGAUAUCGGGAGGAACACCAGUGGCGAAGGCGACUACCUGGCCUGUUCUUGACGCUGAGGCGCGAAAGCUAGGGUAGCAAACGGG